UGCCCAGCAACUCCUAUUCCUACCUCCUCGUGGUACUGGCCGGGGUACGAGUAACCUUGGGGAAGAUCGGGUAACCAACCCCCGGUGGGAACUUUGGUCGUAUGCUGACAGGGAAGG
rfam:Aedes aegypti strain Liverpool supercont1.33 genomic scaffold, whole genome shotgun sequence.